UUUCCGUCCUAAAAUUUCAUGUCUAACAUUAACCGUUCGUCUUAUUAUUUUUAUUGUUACUAGAUGAAAAAAUAUGAAUAGUAUGUGUGACUAUUUUUUUAUUUUUUCAUAAACUUUUCAAAUAAAACGGAUGGUCUAACGUUGGACACGGAUUCCCACAGUUGCACUUAUU
rfam:Oryza sativa (indica cultivar-group) chromosome 7, whole genome shotgun sequence.